rnacentral:rRNA from 1 species
CGUUUGAUCCCGGCGGAGGCCAUUUGCUAUCGGAGUCCGAUUUAGCCAUGCUAGUCGCACGGGUUUAGACCCGUGGCAGAUAGCUCAGUAACACGUGGCCAAACUGCCCUAUGGACCAGAACAACCUCGGGAAACUGAGGCUAAUUCUGGAUACAGCUCUCAGCCUGGAGUGGCGAGAGCUGGAAACGCUCCGGCGCCAUAGGAUGUGGCUGCGGCCGAUUAGGUAGACGGUGGGGUAACGGCCCACCGUGCCGAUAAUCGGUACGGGUUGUGAGAGCAAGAGCCCGGAGACGGUAUCUGAGACAAGAUACCGGGCCCUACGGGGCGCAGCAGGCGCGAAACCUUUACACUGCACGACAGUGCGAUAAGGGGACUCCGAGUGCGAGGGCAUAUAGUCCUCGCUUUUCUGUACCGUAGGGAGGUACAGGAACAAGUGCUGGGCAAGACCGGUGCCAGCCGCCGCGGUAAUACCGGCAGCACGAGUGAUGGCCGAUAUUAUUGGGCCUAAAGCGUCCGUAGCUGGCCAGCCAAGUCCGUUGGGAAAUCGACGUGCCUAACACGUCGGCGUCCAGCGGAAACUGUCUGGCUUGGAGCCAGAGGACCCGAGGGGUACGUCCGGGGUAGGAGUGAAAUCCCGUAAUCCUGGACGGACCACCGGUGGCGAAAGCGCCUCGGGAAGAUGGACUCGACAGUGAGGGACGAAAGCUGGGGUCUCGAACCGGAUUAGAUACCCGGGUAGUCCCAGCCGUAAACGAUGCUCGCUAGGUGUGGCGCAGGCUACGAGCCUGCGCUGUGCCGUAGGGAAGCCGUGAAGCGAGCCGCCUGGGAAGUACGUCCGCAAGGAUGAAACUUAAAGGAAUUGGCGGGGGAGCACUACAACCGGAGGAGCCUGCGGUUUAAUUGGACUCAACGCCGGACAUCUCACCAGCACCGACAGUGUGCAGUGAAGGUCAGUUUGAUGCGCUUACUGGAGCCACUGAGAGGAGGUGCAUGGCCGCCGUCAGCUCGUACCGUGAGGCGUCCUGUUAAGUCAGGCAACGAGCGAGACCCA